ACGAACGCUGGCGGCGUGCUUAACCCAUGCCGGUCGAACGGAAAGGCCCUGCUUUUGUGGGGUGCUCGAGUGGCGAACGGGUGAGUAACACGUGAGUAACCUGCCCUUGACUUUGGGAUAACUUCAGGAAACUGGGGCUAAUACCGGAUAGGAGCUCCUGCUGCAUGGUGGGGGUUGGAAAGUUUCGGCGGUUGGGGAUGGACUCGCGGCUUAUCAGCUUGUUGGUGGGGUAGUGGCUUACCAAGGCUUUGACGGGUAGCCGGCCUGAGAGGGUGACCGGCCACAUUGGGACUGAGAUACGGCCCAGACUCCUACGGGAGGCAGCAGUGGGGAAUAUUGCACAAUGGGCGGAAGCCUGAUGCAGCAACGCCGCGUGCGGGAUGACGGCCUUCGGGUUGUAAACCGCUUUCGCCUGUGACGAAGCGUGAGUGACGGUAAUGGGUAAAGAAGCACCGGCUAACUACGUG
rnacentral:rRNA from 1 species